UACGUAGGCAGCAAGCGUUGUUCGGAGUUACUGGGCGUAAAGGGUGUGUAGGCGGCCUGAAAGGUCAGCUGUGAAAACUCGAGGCUCAACCUCGAGACGUCGGUUGAAACCAUCUGGCUAGAGUCCGGAAGAGGAGAGUGGAAUUCCCGGUGUAGCGGUGAAAUGCGCAGAUAUCGGGAAGAACACCCGUGGCGAAGGCGGCUCUCUGGGACGGUACUGACGCUGAGACGCGAAAGCGUGGGGAGCGAACAGG
rnacentral:rRNA from 1 species